rnacentral:RNase_P_RNA from 1 species
UCAGGGGGCCAGGCAGCCGCGUGCCACGUUUUUUCGCGGCGCGAGGAAAGUCCGGGCUCCACGAAACGAGGGUGGCGGGUAACGCCCGCCGGUCCCGGAUCGCGGUCCGGGGCCAGGGAAAGUGCCACAGAGAGCAUACCGCCGAUGGUCCCGGAUCAGGUCCGGGACACAGGCAAGGGUGAAAGGGUGCGGCAAGAGCGCACCGGGGCGCUGGCAACAGGGUCCGCAUGGCAAACCCCACCCGGAGCAAGGCCAAAUAGGGGCCUCGCGCCCGCCGGUCGCGGCGGGCAGGGGAGUUUCGCCCCGAGAGGCCCGGGUUGGCUGCUAGAGCCGUCCGGCAACGGGCGGCCCAGAUGAAUGGCUGCCCCCGCGUCAAGCGGUGACAGAACCCGGCUUAUCGGCCCCCUGAUUUU